CCAGAGCUCCUCUCUGAGGUGUCAGGCACAAUGAUGUCAUAUUUUGCAGUGGAACAAACAGAACACGGUAUGGAUGGAAUACUGCAGAGCUUGCAGACAUCCUUCCAGAAAUGUUUAUGCCUUAAUCUGCUGGAAUUCACCAUAAAAUGGCUUGUAAAGGCAAUAUGCUAUCUAAGCAGCCUCUCCAGUUCUAGGAAACAGAUGCAAAACAACUGCUCCUAGAAUGGAAAAAAAGGCCUGAAUUCCUGUGCCAGCGGGGAUUAUGAGAUCAUGCUGUCUGUCAACUCCUCUUUCGUCCAUCUGUUCCUCUCCUCCUUUUCUUGAUAACUUCUGAACUUUCUGGCUAAUUUUCACCAAAUUUGACAAAGCAGAGAUAGAAUGGAGCCUGCA